UACGAAGGGGGCUAGCGUUGCUCGGAAUCACUGGGCGUAAAGCGCACGUAGGCGGAUUGCUAAGUCAGGGGUGAAAUCCUGGAGCUCAACUCCAGAACUGCCUUUGAUACUGGCGACCUUGAGUCCGGGAGAGGUGAGUGGAACUGCGAGUGUAGAGGUGAAAUUCGUAGAUAUUCGCAAGAACACCAGUGGCGAAGGCGGCUCACUGGCCCGGUACUGACGCUGAGGUGCGAAAGCGUGGGGAGCAUACAGG
rnacentral:rRNA from 1 species